GACGAACGCUGGCGGCGUGCCUAACACAUGCAAGUCGAGCGAGGAACUUCGGUUCCUAGCGGCGGACGGGUGAGUAACACGUGGGUAACCUGGCUCAUAGAGGGGGAUAGCCUCCCGAAAGGGAGAUUAAUACCGCAUAAGAAGCGAAAGUCGCAUGGCUUUAGCUUUAAAGGAGUAAUCCGCUAUGAGAUGGGCCCGCGGCGCAUUAGCUAGUUGGUGAGGUAACGGCCCACCAAGGCGACGAUGCGUAGCCGACCUGAGAGGGUGAUCGGCCACAUUGGAACUGAGACACGGUCCAGACUCCUACGGGAGGCAGCAGUGGGGAAUAUUGCACAAUGGGCGAAAGCCUGAUGCAGCAACGCCGCGUGAGUGAUGACGGCCUUCGGGUUGUAAAGCUCUGUCUUUGGGGACGAUAAUGACGGUACCCAAGGAGGAAGCCACGGCUAACUACGUGCCAGCAGCCGCAGUAAAAC
rnacentral:rRNA from 1 species